rnacentral:rRNA from 1 species
UACGUAGGGUGCGAGCGUUAAUCGGAAUUACUGGGCGUAAAGCGUGCGCAGGCGGUUCGUUGUGUCGGCGGUGAAAGCCCCGGGCUCAACCUGGGAAUGGCCGUUGAAACUGGCGAACUGGAGUGUGGCAGAGGGGGGGUGGAAUUCCACGUGUAGCAGUGAAAUGCGUAGAUAUGUGGAGGAAUACCGAUGGCGAAGGCAGCCCCCUGGGAUAACACUGACGCUCAUGCACGAAAGCGUGGGGAGCAAACAGG